rnacentral:misc_RNA from 1 species
GAUGAAGAACGCAGCGAAAUGCGAUAAGUAAUGUGAAUUGCAGAAUUCAGUGAAUCAUCGAAUUUUUGAACGCACAUUGCGCCCCCUGGUAUUCCGGGGGGCAUGCCUGUCCGAGCGUCAUUACAACCCUCAAGCUCAGCUUGGUGUUGGGCCCCGCCGCCCCGGCGGGCCCUAAAGUCAGUGGCGGUGCCGUCCGGCUCCGAGCGUAGUAAUUCUUCUCACUCUGGAGGUCCGGUCGUGUGCUCGCCAGCAACCCCCAAUUUUUUUCAGGUUGACCUCGGAUCAGGUAGGGAUACCCGCUGAACUUAAGCAUAUCAAUAAGCGGAGGA